rnacentral:rRNA from 1 species
AUGAUAUCCGUGAUUUUGGGAGAUUAUAAUGAGAUUUUACUUUCUUCAGAAAAGGAAGGGGGUGGUGCGAGGCCUAAUGCUAUGAUGAGGGACUUUCGUAAUUGUUUGGGAGAAUGCGGUCUGGAAGACAUGGGCUGUAUUGGUGAUCUGUUUACUUGGAGGAGAGGCGAAAUUAGGGAAAGACUUGAUCGCGGGGUCUGUAAUGUGGAGUGGGCAAACAAAUUUCCUCGGGCUGCAAUUGUAAAUGAAGAACAUAUACACUCUGAUCAUUGGCCUCUCAUCCUCGAUACGGAAUAUUACGACAGAAAUAUUUUUGAACAGCCAAAGAGACGAAUAAAACAGUUUGAAGCUCGAUGGCUGAAAGAAGAGACAGUUGGGGAAAUAGUACGUACAGCCUGGGAUAAAGCGAAGAUGUUAGGUAUUGGACCGUCCCUCCGCUGA